rnacentral:sRNA from 1 species
AGCAGAGGCAGCUUCUGAGAGCCUGGGCAGGCAGCAGCUGGCUGACCAAGUCCACUGGAAGAGAAGGCUUGUGCCAGCCGGGAGAAGGAAGCCGGGGACAGGAUGAAAGCAACAACACCUUUGCAGACAGUCGACCGGCCGAAGGACUGGUACAAGACGAUGUUUAAGCAAAUUCACAUGGUGCACAAGCCGGAUGAUGACACAGACAUGUAUAAUACUCCUUAUACAUACAAUGCAGGUCUGUACAACCCACCCUACAGUGCUCAGUCACACCCUGCUGCAAAGACCCAAACCUACAGACCUCUUUCCAAAAGCCACUCCGACAACAGCACCAAUGCCUUUAAGGAUGCGUCCUCCCCAGUGCCUCCCCUACAUGUUCCACCUCCAGUCCCACCGCUUCGACCAAGAGAUCGGUCUUCAACAGAAAAGCAUGACUGGGACCCUCCAGACAGAAAAGUGGACACAAGAAAAUUUCGGUCUGAGCCAAGGAGUAUUUUUGAAUAUGAACCUGGCAAGUCAUCAAUUCUGCAGCAUGAAAGACCAGCCUCCUUGUAUCAGUCCUCUAUAGACAGAAGCCUGGAAAGACCCAUGAG